rnacentral:rRNA from 1 species
AUUGAACGCUGGCGGCAGGCCUAACACAUGCAAGUCGAGCGAGCGGCGGACGGGUGAGUAAUGUAUGGGGACUGCCCGAUAGAGGGGGAUAACUACUGGAAACGGUGGCUAAUACCGCAUACUAUCGGAUAACCCAUAUGGGAUUAGCUAGUUGGUGAGGUAAUGGCUCACCAAGGAGACGAUCCCUAGCUGGUCUGAGAGGAUGAUCAGCCACACUGGGAAUUGGACACGGCCCAGACUCCUACGGAGGCAGCAGUGGGGAAUAUGGCACAAUGGGGGCAAGCCUGAUGCAGCCAUGCCGCGUGUAUGAAGAAGGCCCUAGGGUUGUAAAGUACUUUCAGUCGGGAGGCGUUACCGGCAGAAGAAGCACCGGCUAACUCCGUGCCAGCAGCCGCGGUAAUAC